rnacentral:tRNA from 2 species
GUCUCUGUGGCGCAAUCGGUUAGCGCGAUCGGCUGUUAACUGAAAGGUUGGUGGUUCAAGCCCACCCAGGGACG